GUUACAUUCAUUUCUUAUUUCUGUCAUUGCAAAUCAUCACAAACAUAGUGAGUUAGACAGUCCAGAUUUAUUAUCUUACCGUAAUGCAGGUCAGAAAACAGCACUGGGCUAAGUCCAAAGUAUCAGCAGGGCUGUGUUCCUUUCAGAAGGAUUUUGGAGAGAAUCUGUUCAGGUUAUUGGCAGACUUUAGUUCCCCGUGGAUGCAGAACUUGGCCGAUGGCCCCUCUCCUUUACCUUCACAGCUAGUGAUGGCCAAUCACGUUGGCCUCACAUCAUCUCACUCCCUCUACAUCUUCAUCUUCUCUGACCUUGCCUCCACCACCCUCUCACUGCUUACCUAGCCAGGCCAUGAUAAUGCAGCCUAGUCUCACUGUCUCCAAGCCCACACCUUAGACACAUCUACCCAGUUCCUGGGGCUUUUGUGUAUCAUAUUCUUAACAUCUAGAGAUUGUAGGUGAGUACUCUGUCCACCUAGCCUUUCAAGAAACCUCUAAGUUGUUUUGCUUUGUUUUGCUUUGUUUUGUUUUGUUGUUUCUUUUUGGAAUGUCUGUGACAUUUUCCAUUUUCACUGGAAGCAUCCCCAAGUUCCAGUUGCCCUGUGCACUUGUGAUCACUUGGCAUUGCCAGUACUUUUUAGCUUAUCGGUUCCCAUAGGUCCACACUGGUAGUUCCUGUGGUGUAAGCUUACGUUACCCUUGUGUCUCAAGGUGUUGAGCAACAUUUUAUCAGCUUAUCUUCUAUCUUCCCAUACUGUCUAUAAGAUGACUGUUCAAAUCUCCUGCCCAUUCUGCUCAUUGGGUUGCUCCUUCUUUCAGUUUUGAGUUCUAGGCCUUUCAUUCUAAAUAUAGAUCCUUUGUCAGUUAGGUCAGAAGAAUAUUCCUUAAUCCGAUCCCAAGUUUCCCAUCGUACCUGCAUUCUAGUUAAGCACAUCUAAUUUCCCUGGAUUGGGCUCGCUCUUCAUCAGAGAGUCACUGGACUAGGAUUUCUCCAUCAGAAUGUGUCAGAUCUGAAGAUGGCUGGGCCUGCUCUUUGUCAUAGCUAAGCUCAGACAUACCCAAGUACAAUUUGGUCCAUCCCUAUAGUCCUCUUUGAGAACAUAACUUUCACUCACUAUUUUAUAGAUGGAGUUUGAAGACCACAGGAUACUGAAGAGAAACACAGGGGUAGCUGAGAAGACUGGGAGGCUCCUGAGGACCAAAAUGGUAGAGGAGAGAGCCACCUUCUGCAAGCUGUCCUUCUCUGACCUCCACACAUGCACUGUGAAGCACAGACUCCAGCUCCAGGGAUCUGAUGUCAUCAUCUGGCCUCUGUAGACACCUGCACUUAUGUAGACAUAACAGAGAUCGAGCGAGCGAGAGAUUAUUAAAAAUAAUAAAAGUACAUCUUUAAAGAGAAAUACUAAUGGUAAGACAGAUGACAUCUGCGAUUUCCAUACCGAUGUCUAAUUCCAACACAGUUAGAUCCUGUGAUUAUAUCAACAGGGAUGUGGCAUCUGCCAAUGAACCACUAGGCCAAUCAAGUGAUAAAUCAAACAAAGGACAGUUGUGAAAUCACUGAGAAGUGAUUGCAAAGCAUGAAGAGAGAUUAUCCAUCCUGCUGAGUUACAUAGGUGUAGAGACCACACAUGAGAGUGAUAGGCUGUGAUUCCUGAGAUCUAAGGAGAGCGGCUCAUAACACAAAUGCAACAACUUAGCAGGGAGUGGAUAUUUUAUCGCAAGCUCUCUGGAAAGUCUCGUCUAUGUAUAAUAUAACAGCAAUCUGGGGACUCUCUUGAGAUUGACUUUCAAAUAUCUAAAGUUGACAGAAGCCAUCCCAGAGAACUUGGGAAUCAUAAUUUUACAUGCACCAAAAUCCUAGCAGGAAAUAGAAUCCACCACAGAUGGUCAGGAUGAAGAUACAUCUCAUAGGUAGGUUGAUGAUGGUUCCGAGAACCAGAUAUGGUGAUGUGCCCUCCUAAACUGUUCAUAGAAGAAGGUAGAAAGCCAUUUCUGCUUGCAGGACUGGAGGAUAUGGAUACAUAAGUCACCGGAAGCCACUGAAAACUGGGCUGUAGAGAAGAAGACGUCCUGCCAGACUUGUAGUGGUACAAAGAUUGAACUGCAAUCAGAAGAUGACAUCAAGAUGUCAAAAGAAGUCAAAAAAACUUCAAAAUUGGCCCAAAAUAAAAAGAGCAUAUUCGUCAAAUCAAAAGAAACCACAAAAGACACCGAUUCAAGUGAAUCUUAGGCUCUGUGAAGCACAGGAAGAAGACACUGAUGUCAGGAAUUGCCUUAUGCAGAUAAAGUGCUUUGAAAUUUUGUUCCAGACCUUGAGUGAAGUUUCUGUCUGCCUCUGGAGUAUAUUGCUCUCACCGAUGAAUAGGACGCUAUGAACUUGCCCUUUAAUUGGCUGGUCAAAAAAGUAGGCAGCACAUUCACUCAUGGAGUGGAUGACGUACAGAGAGGGACUCCAGACAAGCAUGCAUAGGCAGAAACCUUGCCGAGCAGAAGAUGCUGCCUUAAGUUAGAGGUCAGGCUCAGGAAGGAGUCAAAGAGCCCAUUGUGCUGCUGAGAAUUACCCACAGCCAAAUGCAUGCUGAGCCUUGCUUCCUGCACGGCGGAUACUGCUUACAGUCCCGUGAUUUUAAAAAAUAACUCUUUCUUCGUACAUCAGAGAUUACCACAAGUCACAGACCUUGUGAGCCAACCCGAACCUGGCUGGUGUCAGAGACUGACCAUCUAUUAUCCAAGAGCUGUCUCCUCCUCCUCCCAGGAAGGAUUUAGGAACUGCAGGCUGUACCAUUGACAAAGCUUCCCCCCAAGAUGAUGAAGCUGUAAUGCAAAUACAUGAGAUUCCCGCCAGAGGAACCUGAAGGAGGGCGAUGAAGUAUCAGAAGAGGACAGGACAAGGGAAGCAACUCACAGCCCUCCAGAACUGUCAAUCAAGGAUUUAGAGGGAUUUAGAAAGACAGUUUUAAAGGGAGCAUCAACCUUUCCUAUCAUGUUUAUAGCAGCCAAACAUAAGAUUUAAAGAUGCUGGCUUUCACAGAAUGACCCAGAAAGAUUAAAUCAGAGCCAACCUCAGAAUUAAGUGUGCCAGAUGCUGCACUGAGCCCUACAAUCAUCUUGUUUAAUCUCUCUGACGUCUGUGAUGGGUACGGUUAUCAUCUCUCCAUGACAGGUGGGGAAACUGAGGCUUUGGCCUUAUGCAACUCUAGGACCAAGCAGAGGGGUGUUGAAUCCACUAUUAGGUGUUACCUCUGAAAUGAAGAAAUGGUAGGUACCAUGAGUGUCCAGUAAAUAUUAAUUAAAGAUCUCUCAUGUUGAUCAGGCCAAAUAAAAGCAUGAUUGGAUUAACAGAGAGCUGGCUCUGAGCUGUUAUGUAACAUGGUGUAUAUUACUUGAUGUAUCUGGGUAACAUUAUCUUCAUCAGAAAGAUUAGAUGUUGUGUGGGUAAAAGGACAUGAGGAAUAAGGCAUACAAUUCAAAUAAGCCAUGCAUUAUGUCUAAACCAGAGUCCCCACUGUCACUCCGAUCCAAGCUCCAGCUGUCUGAAAUUACUUCUCUCCCCUAGAACAAAGGCACAUGGGGACUGGAAAGACACAAUCCUUCCACUCCUCGGUCCCCUGUGGCUUGGCGGAGAAGGGCACUGUUGUAACCAAGAACGGCCCUUCCUCAUAACCACCACUGUGUUCUCACCACAUGAUCUUCUUGGUUCCAGUCAAAAGCCCUGUGCCCACUCCUGACUUGAAAGGACCCACAGAGGAUUUUUCUCUUUGCUUAGCUCUGUGGCUCUUUCCUAGCAGUUGGAAUACAGAAAUAUUUUCCACCCAAAACGACCACAUAAUGACAGGAAAAAGCUGUUAGACUCUGUGCAGAGGGAAACCAUCGUCUCGAGUGUUUUCAGACAUUCCUUUGCUUUAUUUUAAAAGGAAUCCUCUCUGUUUCCUUUAAAGGCAUUAAGGAGAAGUGACCGGUCAGGAUUCACUGGACCAUAGACUUGGUUACUUUUAUAUCCAUUCGUAUCCUGCCCCGCAGGGUUCAUUUCUCUGCUUCACUCAAGAACCAUCUGUCUCAGUCGUACUCAUAGCCCUCAUCUACCCAGACUCUCAAAGUCUGAGAGUCUGUCUCCACGUUCCUCAGGUAGACGUCUUCGACACUCUCCAUAGGAACAAAUCCUAUGUAAAGCCUAAGGUCAUGGUUUCUUCCCCAGAGUUUUUCAUUAAUUAAUUUAUUUAUUCACUUUACAUCCCAAGCCCAGGAUAACAGCCCCUUUCCCUCCUCUCCCCCAGUCCUCCCCUCCCAUUCCCUUUCCCUAUCCCCCCUCCUCUUCUCUUUAGAGAAGGAGAGACUACGCCCCUGGAUACCAACCUGUCCUGGAACAUCAAUUCUCACCAGGACUAAGUGCAUCUUUUUCCCACUGAGGCCAAGCAAGGCAGCCCAGCUAAGAGAAGGGGAUCCAAAGGCAGGCCACAGAGUCAGAGUCAGAGUCAGAGACAGGCCCCGCUCCAAUCAUUGGGGGACUCAUAUGAAGACCAACUCCACAUCUGCUACAUAUGUGUAGGGAUUUCAUGUAUUUUCAUUACUCUGCCUGAGAGCCUGAAUCCAGGGAUCCACCCAACAGAUACUUGGAAAACAUGCUGAAAGUAAGCUUCGAAGUAUCAAGGAAACCAUUCACUAAUAGACUAAGAUGAAAAUAUAUUAUGAUGAAUGUAUUUCUAAUAAAGGCCAUCCUUUC
rnacentral:lncRNA from 1 species